UUCUGCAUAGCUCAGUUGGGAGAGCAGGAGACUCUUAAUCUCAGGGUCAUGGGUUUGAGCCCCACAUAGAGUGGAAG